rnacentral:misc_RNA from 1 species
GAUGAAGAACGUAGUAAAAUGCGAUAAGUAAUGUGAAUUGCAGAAUUCAGUGAAUCAUCGAAUCUUUGAACGCACAUUGCGCCCGCUGGUAUUCCGGCGGGCAUGCCUGUUCGAGCGUCAUUUCAACCCUCAAGCCCCCGGGUUUGGUGUUGGGGAUCGGCUCUGCCUUCUGGCGGUGCCACCCCCGAAAUACAUUGGCGGUCUCGCUGCAGCCUCCAUUGCGUAGUAGCUAACACCUCGCAACUGGAACGCGGCGCGGCCAUGCCGUAAAACCCCAACUUCUGAAUGUUGACCUCGGAUCAGGUAGGAAUACCCGCUGAACUUAAGCAUAUCAAUAAGCGGAGGA